rnacentral:rRNA from 1 species
GACCUCAAAUCAGGUAGGGCUACCCGCUGAACUUAAGCAUAUCAAUAAGCGGAGGAAAAGAAACUAACAAGGAUUNCCCCUAGUAGCGGCGAGCGAACCGGGAUGAGCUCAAAUUUGUAAUCUGGCAUCCUCCGGGUGUCCGAGUUGUAAUCUAUAGAAGCGUUUUCCGUGCCGGACCGUGUCCAAGUCCCUUGGAACAGGGUAUCAAAGAGGGUGACAAUCCCGUGCUUGACACGACGACCGGCGCCAUGUGAUACGCUCUCCACGAGUCGAGUUGUUUGGGAAUGCAGCUCAAAAUGGGUGGUAAACUCCAUCUAAAGCUAAAUAUUGGCGAGAGACCGAUAGCAAACAAGUACCGUGAGGGAAAGAUGAAAAGCACUUGGAAAGAGAGU